AAUCAACGCUGGCGGCGUGCCUCAGACAUGCAAGUCGAACGAUUAAAGCUCUCUUCGGAGAGUGCAUAGAGUGGCGCACGGGUGAGUAACACGUAAGUAAUCUACCUUCGAGUGGGGAAUAACGUCCGGAAACGUACGCUAAUACCGCAUAAUGCAGCGGCAUCGCAAGAUGACAGUUGUUAAAGGAGCAAUUCGCUUGAAGAGGAGCUUGCGGCAGAUUAGCUUGUUGGUAAGGUAACGGCUUACCAAGGCUACGAUCUGUAACCGGUCUAAGAGGACGGUCGGUCACACUGACACUGAAUAACGGGUCAGACUCCUACGGGAGGCAGCAGUCGGGAAUUUUGGGCAAUGGGGGAAACCCUGACCCAGCAACGCCCGCGUGAAGGA
rnacentral:rRNA from 1 species